rnacentral:rRNA from 1 species
UUUUGGACAAUGGGCGCAAGCCUGAUCCAGCCAUGCCGCGUGAGUGAAGAAGGCCUUCGGGUUGUAAAGCUCUUUCGGUGAAGACGAAACGGUUAGCGCUAAUAACGCUGACUAAUGACGGUACUCACAGAAGAAGCACCGGCUAACUACGUGCCAGCAGCCGCGGCAAUACGUAGGGUGCAGGCGUUAAUCGGAAUUACUGGGCGUAAAGCGUGCGCAGGCGGUUUGCUAAGACAGGUGUGAAAUCCCCGAGCUUAACUUGGGAAUUGCGCUUGUAACUGGCAGGCUAGAGUGUAGCAGAGGGGGGUGGAAUUCCACGUGUAGCAGUGAAAUGCGUAGAUAUGUGGAGGAACACCGAUGGCGAAGGCAGCCCCCUGGGUUAACACUGACGCUCAUGCACGAAAGCGUGGGGAGCAAACAGGAUUAGAUACCCUGGUAGUCCACGCCCUAAACUAUGUCAACUAGUUGUCGGGGAAGAAAUUCCUUGGUAACGAAGCUAACGCGU